rnacentral:lncRNA from 1 species
UAGAGGUGUGUUUCUACAUGCCGAUGAGCACCGAAUGAAGAAGGAUUGCCUCCUUAUCAUUGAAUGUAUCACAGAUAAGUAGAUACAGCACUUGAAGAAAUGUAAACUAUUGCCUGUGCGGCUUUCAUAAACAAAAGCUCUGCCUACAGCUUCAAGGAUAUAAAGUGAAAAGUCCCCUGAGGCAGUCUCUCUGUCUAUGUAAUAAUUAAGAAAAGAAGCUGUAGAAAGUUAUACACAACCUUUAUUAACCUAUUUUUGUUUGGAUUUUGGUGACCAUUUGGCCUUCCUUCUGCCAUCAGUCUGUAUUUCACAGCAGAAGAAUGAAAGCAUGACAAAGACUGAAGAGCUGUGGGCAAGGGGGAGACAUAGGCGGAGUUCUGAUUGCUCAAAGGCAGACUCACAUCCAUCCUGCCACUCUGCAGAUGUCCCUCAGUUGAUGAUGCAGGGAGUUUGAAGUCUGGGAUUACUCGAACAAUCAUACUUCACCAAAAAUAGCUCCCGUGAGUGCCAGGGAUAAUGGAGUUAACACAGCACAUGGUUUAAUGACUAAUGUAUGCAGUGUGGAAUACUUUGCAUGUUCCC